UACGUAGGGUGCAAGCGUUAAUCGGAAUUACUGGGCGUAAAGCGUGCGCAGGCGGUUUUGUAAGUCUGUCGUGAAAUCCCCGGGCUCAACCCGGGAACUGCGUCCGAUACUGGAAGGCUUGAAUCCGGGAGAGGGAUGCGGAAUUCCAGGUGUAGCGGUGAAAUGCGUAGAUAUCUGGAGGAACACCGGUGGCGAAGGCGGCAUCCUGGACCGGCAUUGACGCUGAGGCGCGAAAGCCAGGGGAGCAAACGGG
rnacentral:rRNA from 1 species